rnacentral:tRNA from 1 species
GACUCCAUGGCCCAAUGGAUAAGGUGUUGGUCUACGAAACUAAAGAUUCUUGGUUAGAUCCCUAGUGGAGUCG